rnacentral:rRNA from 1 species
UACAGAGGGGGCAAGCGUUGUUCGGAAUUACUGGGCGUAAAGCGCGUGUAGGCGGCUUUGCAAGUCGGAUGUGAAAUCCCACGGCUCAACCGUGGAAGUGCAUUCGAAACUGCAAGGCUAGAGUCCUGGAGAGGAAGGUGGAAUGCUUGGUGUAGAGGUGAAAUUCGUAGAUAUCAAGCGGAACACCGGUGGCGAAGGCGGCCUUCUGGACAGUGACUGACGCUGAGACGCGAAAGCGUGGGGAGCAAACAGG